UGGGGAAUUGUUCACAAUGGGCGCAAGCCUGAUGACGCAACGCCGCGUGGGGGAUGAAGGUCUUCGGAUCGUAAACCCCUGUCGAAUGGGACGAAAGACUCGCGAGUGAAUACUUCGCGAGAGUGACGGUACCGUUAAAGGAAGCCACGGCUAACUCUGUGCCAGCAGCCGCGGUAAUACAGAGGUGGCAAGCGUUGUUCGGAAUUACUGGGCGUAAAGGGCGCGUAGGCGGCCCUCUAAGUCAGACGUGAAAUCCCCCGGCUUAACCUGGGAACUGCGUCUGAUACUGGAGGGCUUGAGUAUGGGAGAGGGAUGUAGAGUUCCAGGUGUAGCGGUGAAAUGCGUAGAUAUCGGAAGGAACACCAGUGGCGAAGGCGGCUACCUGGACUUCAACUGACACUGAGGCGCGAAAGCGUGGGUAGCGAACAGGAUUAGAUACCCUUGUAGUCCCUGAGCGGGCUGGCAAGGCGCAU
rnacentral:rRNA from 1 species